rnacentral:tRNA from 1 species
CCCAGGGUUGGAACUCAGUGGUAGAGUGCUUACCUGUUGUGCAUGAAGCCCUGAGUUUGAUCCCCAGCACUGGAA